rnacentral:lncRNA from 1 species
UGAGUUUUUUUCUCUCCCUCUCGUUUUUUUUUUUUUCCCAGGCUCUCGCGGGUUUCCCCUGCCAGGGAAUCCACUCGCUGUAGUUUUCUAGGGCUCUGGUCCCAGUCCUUUCUGAAGCGCGCUUGCAGGCUGUCUUCCUCAGUCGCCCUCUCCCUGGGUGCUGUUUUGCUGGGCAGCAUCCCAUGCUAGGCUCGGCAGACAUUCUGGCGGUUGGGUUCGGCCCUUACAGCGCUAACACCUGCAGAGUCGAGGCUCCUGCCAAAAGGCAGAAAGCAAAGGAGGAAAAAAUUCAUUGUCAUAAUAGCGAAAAUGAUAAACCUCAGCUGUUUAAGAGAAGAAUGUCUGAGUAGCUGUUGAUUAUCUCCCAUAAUCACAAAACAACUUUUUUUUAAAAAGAAUUUGCACUGUCUGUUAAAACGCGGUCAUUGUUUUGCUUUCAAAUCGAACUUCACGACAGUUAGCAACUUCAAGAACGCUUCCAAAUGGAUAAAUCUUUCCAGAAGAUUUCUUGCUUCAAAACAGCUGCAUUUUUGGAAGAAAGUCCACAACUGACAACUAAGCAAAACCCUCCUGGUGGAUAGCAUAAAUCUGCUUUGUUGAAGCUGCUCAUUUGUCUGAUCUAUGAGUCCAGAAGAUGCAAACUCCCUUCCCAGCUUAUGCAAAAAUACUUCCAGUAAAAACAAGCCCUUUGGCCCUUUUCUUUUGUCA